ACUGAAUUUGAUUGUUAUUCGUAAACAAUAUUUGCAAAACGAAACAAUACGUUUAUCAAAAUUUAUUAACUCGUUAUCUUGAAUCAAAUAACAAUGAAUGAUCCAAGUUUAUACGCUUCAGUAAACGUGGUAACAAGACGAGAUGCAAAAUAUCUUAUUGAUAGUUAUUUUGAUAAAAUUAAAUGGCUACCAAACGGUGGUGAUUUGGUAUUAGAUAUUGGCUGCGGAGAUGGUGCGGUAACUUAUGAACUUCUACUAGAAUACGUUCCAAAAACUGUCGAAAUGAUAGUUGGUACAGAUGUUUCGCUAACAAUGUUAAAAUAUGCUAAUAAUUCAUACCAGCAUCCAAAAUUACAAUUUCAACAUUUAGAUAUUGCUACAGAGUCACUACCUAAACAGUAUUUUGGAAAGUUUGAUCAUGUAUUUUCAAAUUAUUGUUUACAUUGGGUUCAAGAUCAAAGGCAAGCAUUUCAAAAUAUAUACGAUUCAUUGAAACCAAAUGGAGAUGUAUUAGUUGCAUAUUUAGCAGAAUAUCCUUUGUUUUCAAUAUACGAAACAAUUUCCAAACUGAAAAAAUGGGAACCGUAUAUGAUCGAUUAUAAGAAAUUUGUAUCCCCAUACCAUAAUAACUUCGAUACUGAAAAUAACCAUAAAGAUAUACUAAAAAAUAUUGGAUAUGAUUAUGUUGAAUGUAAAUGUGAAAGACGAACCUUUGUUUAUAAAGAUUUGAUAUCUUGGAGAAAGAUAGUACAAAGUGUUAAUCCGUUCGUUGAGCGUAUACCGGAAUCGAAACGAGAUGAAUAUAUUGAUGAAUUAAUGUUAGAAAGCAAAAAAAGGGGAUUAAUUAGAGAAAAUACUGAAGGAGUUACUAUACCUUAUGAAUUACUAAUUGUUUACGCUCAAAAAAGAACGAAACUCGAACUUGACACGAAGAGAGCAUAAAUUUGUCCAAAAAUAUAAGACAUAAAAAUAAUAAUAUUAGCAGGUUCAUAUCUUAGAAUAUUAUUUCAUCGAUUUUAAAUUAUUUUAUUACUCAAUCAGAAACAGUUUCUCCUUGAGUUUUUUAGGACUUGCAUACCUAUUUUAUAUUUUUCCAUAGCUUAAAUUUUCCGGGGUAUUUUUCUUCAGCAAAAUUGAAUAUCAAGGAGGCAAGAAAUGGAGAAGAACGGAACAAAGGAAUAUGAAAAAACUGUAGUGGAAUAUCGUUCACCACAAAACGAUAUUGUUUCUCUAAAAUCUGGCAAAUUAUUAUGAACAAAACCGGACAGAGAGGAACUGUUUCUCUUAUAUGUAUUAUAAGAUUAUUUGAAUAAUUAAUUUAUUAUUUAUUUAUAAUGAACACAUAUUCGAGUAUUUUAUAAUCAAAUAUUAUGAAGUUUUCGUAAAAAUAGUACCUUCGAUUAUUUAGUCAUUUGCUACAUAUCAGCGCUCAUUAAGAUAUACUGGAAUAAUUCCGAUUCACCGAUUGGCAAUACGGCUUUCACUCUUUUUGCAUUAAAUGACUUACGUACAAAAGGAGCUUAACUGUGUAAUCCCAAAAAAAGGUUCUUUGUAAUAUUUGUAUCAUUCUCUUUAAAAUCUCUGAAUAUCCAAAAAUACUCAAAAUAUGUUUAGUAAACGUGCAAAUUUCUAUGUAUCUUUGCAAAUAAAUUCAUUUUGAAUAUUUUUGAA